rnacentral:piRNA from 1 species
UAAAAGGAAGCAGGGAACAUAUAU